GAUGAACGCUGGCGGCGUGCUUAACACAUGCAAGUCGAACGAUGAAGCCCAGCUUGCUGGGUGGAUUAGUGGCGAACGGGUGAGUAACACGUGAGUAACCUGCCCUUAACUCUGGGAUAAGCCUGGGAAACUGGGUCUAAUACCGGAUAGGAGCGUCCACCGCAUGGUGGGUGUUGGAAAGAUUUAUCGGUUUUGGAUGGACUCGCGGCCUAUCAGCUUGUUGGUGAGGUAAUGGCUCACCAAGGCGACGACGGGUAGCCGGCCUGAGAGGGUGACCGGCCACACUGGGACUGAGAGACGGCCCAGACUCCUACGGGAGGCAGCAGUGGGGAAUAUUGCACAAUGGGCGCAAGCCUGAUGCAGCGACGCCGCGUGCGGGAUGACGGCCUUCGGGUUGUAAACCUCUUUCAGUAGGGAAGAAGCGAAAGUGACGGUACCUGCAGAAGAAGCACCGGCUAACUACGUG
rnacentral:rRNA from 1 species